rnacentral:rRNA from 1 species
GGUUAAGCGACUAAGCGUACACGGUGGAUGCCCUGGCAGUCAGAGGCGAUGAAGGGCGUGCUAAUCUGCGAUAAGCGCCGGUAAGGUGAUAUGAACCGUUAUAACCGGCGAUACCCGAAUGGGGAAACCCAGUGUGACUCGUCACACUAUCAUUAACUGAAUCCAUAGGUUAAUGAGGCGAACCGGGGGAACUGAAACAUCUAAGUACCCCGAGGAAAAGAAAUCAACCGAGAUUCCCCCAGUAGCGGCGAGCGAACGGGGAGGAGCCCAGAGCCUGAAUCAGCAUGUGUGUUAGUGGAAGCGUCUGGAAAGGCGCGCGAUACAGGGUGACAGCCCCGUACACAAAAGCGCAUGUGCUGUGAGCUCGAUGAGUAGGGCGGGACACGUGGUAUCCUGUCUGAAUAUGGGGGGACCAUCCUCCAAGGCUAAAUACUCCUGACUGACCGAUAGUGAACCAGUACCGUGAGGGAAAGGCGAAAAGAACCCCGGCGAGGGGAGUGAAAAAGAACCUGAAACCGUGUACGUACAAGCAGUGGGAGCACAGGUUUACCUGUGUGACUGCGUACCUUUUGUAUAAUGGGUCAGCGACUUAUAUUCUGUAGCAAGGUUAACCGUAUAGGGGAGCCGUAGGGAAACCGAGUCUUAACCGGGCGUUAAGUUGCAGGGUAUAGACCCGAAACCCGGUGAUCUAGCCAUGGGCAGGUUGAAGGUUGGGUAACACUAACUGGAGGACCGAACCGACUAAUGUUGAAAAAUUAGCGGAUGACCUGUGGCUGGGGGUGAAAGGCCAAUCAAACCGGGAGAUAGCUGGUUCUCCCCGAAAGCUAUUUAGGUAGCGCCUCGUGAAUUCAUCUCCGGGGGUAGAGCACUGUUUCGGCUAGGGGGCCAUCCCGGCUUACCAACCCGAUGC